AGUGAACGCUGGCGGUAGGCCUAACACAUGCAAGUCGAACGGCAGCACAGUAAGAGCUUGCUCUUACGGGUGGCGAGUGGCGGACGGGUGAGGAAUACAUCGGAAUCUACGGUUUCGUGGGGGAUAACGUAGGGAAACUUACGCUAAUACCCCAUACGACCUACGGGUGGAAGCAGGGGAUCUUCGGACCUUGCGCGAUUGAAUGAGCCGAUGUCGGAUUAGCUAGUUGGCGGGGUAAAGGCCCACCAAGGCGACGAUCCGUAGCUGGUCUGAGAGGAUGAUCAGCCACACUGGAACUGAGACACGGUCCAGACUCCUACGGGAGGCAGCAGUGGGGAAUAUUGGACAAUGGGCGCAAGCCUGAUCCAGCCAUACCGCGUGGGUGAAGAAGGCCUUCGGGUUGUAAAGCCCUUUUGUUGGGAAAGAAAAGCAGCAGGUUAAUACCCCGCUGUUCUGACGGUACCCAAAGAAUAAGCACCGGCUAACUUCGUG
rnacentral:rRNA from 1 species